rnacentral:rRNA from 1 species
UACAGAGGUCUCAAGCGUUGUUCGGAUUCAUUGGGCGUAAAGGGUGCGUAGGUGGCGCGGUAAGUCGGGUGUGAAAUUUCGGAGCUUAACUCCGAAACUGCAUUCGAUACUGCCGUGCUUGAGGACUGGAGAGGAGACUGGAAUUUACGGUGUAGCAGUGAAAUGCGUAGAGAUCGUAAGGAAGACCAGUGGCGAAGGCGGGUCUCUGGACAGUUCC